rnacentral:rRNA from 1 species
CGGUAGGGGAAGGAAGGUCGUUUCGGGUUACGUUAAACCCUUUCAGGUGGGACGAAGCCACUCGGUUAAUAGCCCAGAGGGUGACGGUACCGCCAGAAGAAGCCCCGGCUAACUACGUGC